rnacentral:rRNA from 1 species
AUUGAACGCUGGCGGCAUGCCUUACACAUGCAAGUCGAACGGCAGCGGGGACUUCGGUCCGCCGGCGAGUGGCGAACGGGUGAGUAAUGUAUCGGAACGUACCUUUCAGUGGGGGAUAACGUAGCGAAAGUUACGCUAAUACCGCAUAUUCUCUGAGGAGGAAAGCAGGGGACCUUCGGGCCUUGUGCUGAUUGAGCGGCCGAUAUCAGAUUAGCUAGUUGGGGAGGUAAAGGCUCACCAAGGCGACGUUCUGUAGCGGGUCUGAGAGGAUGAUCCGCCACACUGGAACUAGGACACGGUCUGGAAUCCGACGGGAGGCAGAAGUGGGAAUGUUUGUACAAGGGGCGCAAGCCUGAUCCAGAAAUGCCGCGUGAAGGGUGAAGGCCUUCGGGUUGUAAACUGCUUUUGUACGGAGCGAAAAGGCUCUCUCUAAUACAAGGGGCUCAUGACGGUACCGGCAGAAGAUGCACCGGCUAACUACGUGCCAGCCGCCGCCGUAAUAC